CCGUAGUCGUACAGGAGGAGUUUGGACGUCCUGGACGUCGAGGACGAACGCUGGCGGCGUGCUUAACACAUGCAAGUCGAACGGUGAUGCUGGAGCUUGCUCCAGCUGAUCAGUGGCGAACGGGUGAGUAACACGUGAGCAACCUGCCCUUGACUCUGGGAUAACCCCGGGAAACCGGAGCUAAUACCGGAUACGAACCGCACAGGCAUCUGCGCGGUUGGAAAGAUUUAUCGGUCAAGGAUGGGCUCGCGGCCUAUCAGCUUGUUGGUGGGGUAAUGGCCCACCAAGGCGACGACGGGUAGCCGGCCUGAGAGGGCGACCGGCCACACUGGGACUGAGACACGGCCCAGACUCCUACGGGAGGCAGCAGUGGGGAAUAUUGCACAAUGGGCGAAAGCCUGAUGCAGCGACGCCGCGUGAGGGACGAAGGCCUUCGGGUUGUAAACCUCCUUCAGCAGGGAAGAAGCGAAAGUGACGGUACCUGCAGAAGAAGCACCGGCUAACUACGUG
rnacentral:rRNA from 1 species